rnacentral:rRNA from 1 species
UACGGAGGGUGCGAGCGUUGUUCGGAAUUACUGGGCGUAAAGGGCGCGUAGGUGGCCUUCUAAGUCGAACGUGAAAUCCCUGGGCUCAACCCAGGAACUGCGUCCGAGACUGGGAGGCUUGAAUCCGGGAGAGGGAUGCGGAAUUCCAGGUGUAGCGGUGAAAUGCGUAGAUAUCUGGAGGAACACCGGUGGCGAAGGCGGCAUCCUGGACCGGUAUUGACACUGAGGCGCGAAAGCCAGGGGAGCAAACGGG